rnacentral:lncRNA from 1 species
ACCCAACCAAAAAGGCAAAAGAAAACAAAAAUCUCUCACACACAAUCCGUCCAAUGAGCUUCCAGGAACUUCGCGGUUUUAGUGGAGCUAAACUUUGCAUGCCUACACGAUAAAACGUUUUGAUUUGUACUCGUAAUCGCGUUAUAGUCUGACCCAACUACAUCAAAAUUGGUCGCAACCCAUUUUAGAUACGGAAUACAUGGUUCUCAGUCGUAGGUACUUUAAGGUCUUUUCGACGGUCCAACUAUUGUAGCUGUUGUAGCUUUAUUAAGCUCAAAGUGCUUUCACACUUUUAUGCUAACCACUUAGCCAACCCUAGCCGCCACUUCUUACCCGUGUUUGUAUGGUGUAACUUGUUCAUGGUCACUGUGUUUAACCUAUUUGAACAUAGCUUAUUCCUCUUAUCCCCAUCAAGAACAUGGAGUCAAUUCGGGAAUCAGAUGGUGAAAGUUUGGGCGAGAUGGAAAGCAGCACUAGCGAUCCUGACAGUGAGUUUGAGGCCCAGUUUGAAUCUGGGCGGCAGAGAAAGCGGCCUGUUCCUGUCCCUGUGUCCGUGCCCAAACAGGUAAAUUAAGAUAUUUUUUUCUGCAUUAAUCAGUUUCUCAAUGUGCCCAGCCACUAAUUCACCAGA